rnacentral:rRNA from 1 species
AUUGAACGCUGGCGGCAGGCCUAACACAUGCAAGUCGAACGAGUGGCGGACGGGUGAGUAAUGUCUGGGAAACUGCCUGAUGGAGGGGGAUAACUGCUGGAAACGGUAGCUAAUACCGCAUACCAUCGGAUGUGCCCAGAUGGGAUUAGCUAUUGGGUGGGGUAAAGGCUCACCUAGGAGACGAGCCCUAGCUGGUCUGAGAGGAUGACCAGCAACACUGGAACGGAGACACGGUCCAGACGCCUACGGGGGGAAGCAGUGGGGAAUAUUGGACAAUGGGCGCAAGCCUGAUGCAGCCAGGCCGCGUGUAUGAAGAAGGCCUUCGGGUUGUAAAGUACUUUCAGCGGGGAGGCGUUACCUGCAGAAGAAGCACCGGCUAACUCCGUGCCAGCAGCCGCGGUAAUUC